rnacentral:rRNA from 1 species
GACGAACGCUGGCGGCGUGCUUAACACAUGCAAGUCGAACGGGAUCCGGGCUUUCGGGUUUGGUGAGAGUGGCGAACGGGUGAGUAACACGUGAGUAACCUGCCCCCUUCUUGGGGGUAACGUCGGGAAAUCGGCGCUAAUACUGGAUAUUCUUGCUGCAUCGCAUGGUGUGGUUUGGAAAGGGUUUCUGGUGGGGGAUGGGCUCGCGGCCUAUCAGCUUGUUGGUGGGGUGAUGGCCUACCAAGGCUUUGACGGGUAGCCGGCCUGAGAGGGUGUCCGGCCACACUGGGACUGAGACACGGCCCAGACUCCUACGGGAGGCAGCAGUGGGGAAUAUUGCACAAUGGGCGCAAGCCUGAUGCAGCGACGCCGCGUGAGGGAUGACGGCCUUCGGGUUGUAAACCUCUUUCAGUAUGGAACAAGGAUCCUUCUUUUGGGGGGUUUGAGGGUACGUGCAGAAGAAGCGCCGGCUAACUACGUG